rnacentral:lncRNA from 1 species
GAUGUAAGAAAAAAGUCGCAGAAUAGAAUAGAUAGGCAAAGCAGCACUUAGCACUCCAACUAAUGGCCUUAAGACUGUUGCAAUUGGUACAACAGCUUCUCAGGGGAUUCAAUCAAGAAGAGUGGAUUCUGGGCUACGCUAAACCUUUUCCUUUUCUUUUGCUGACCGGAAGGAUUUGAUGUCCAGACUGGAUAAACAUCUAAGAGCUUCUUCUUU